rnacentral:rRNA from 1 species
UGGGUAACCUGCCCUUCACUCUGGGAUAACUCCGGGGAAAACCGGGGACUAAUACUGGAUAUGACUCGAACAGGCAUCUGUUUCGGGUGGAAAGAUUUAUUGGUGGAGGAUGGACUCGCGGCCUAUCAGCUUGUUGGUGAGGUAAUGGCCCACCAAGGCGACGACGGGUAGCCGGCCUGAGAGGGUGACCGGCCACACUGGGACUGAGACACGGCCCAGACCUCCGUACGGGGAGGCA